rnacentral:lncRNA from 1 species
UUUAGAAAAAUUCUCAUUUAAUUGAUGGAAACCAAAUGAAGCCCAAGAGUUUGAUCAUCUCACUUUUGCAUAGUCUUCAACAAGAAAUGAAGAAAUAGAAGACAACAAAAAUUAAAGUCUAUUCUAAAAAGGUAAAGAGAAGAGAAAACCUAAUCUAGUCUAACUCUCAAAACUAUUAUCUACUACUCAUCCAUUUCUUUUUCUUCUCCCCUUCAAAAUGAAAGCAAAAUGCUGUUUAUAUAGGAAACAAUUAGAAGACUAAAAUUCCCUUAAUGUUAUUACAAAGUUUAAGGCUUAAAAUUGAAGAAUGAGCAUAAAAUGCCCUUAAACACACAGGUCCACGUCCCUUGAAAUUGUCACGACAUCACAGCGUUGACUACUCCUCGUCAUGACAUGAGGUUGUGAAGUCGUAACGUCGGCUGUUUCCACAUCACAAUGAGAUGGCUUGACUUGCUCCCCCAUGCUUUUGUUUCAACGUUGUAGCUGCCCAGCCUCUUGGUUAUGACCUAAGCUACAGUUUAGCCCUUGAAAUGCACCUUCAGCUCUCAAUUGAUCCUAUAUAACCACACAAAUUUAUUUAGAUAUCCAAAACAUAAAAUAACAUAAAAAUUACUCAAAAAAUCACACUUUUACUACUUAAACUCCUAAAACUGUAAAUUAACAUUAAAAUGACUCGAUUCUACUUAAAAUAUGUUGAAAUAUGUGUAAAGGAACAACAAAUAAACAUGCCAAAUUACAGUAGAUCACCUAUCCAUAAGGGCAGGCGAAGACCAACAACCUUGAGCCUUGUACAACCAGUUUAGGACCUAUUAUGAGUUCAACUUCUCCCAACCCAGGUAUUCGACCAUGUAUAAUAUCAGGGAAUCUUGGUAGUACCCCUGCAUCUCUCACCCAACCAGCAUUGCAGUAACUCUAAUCAUCACUACAAAACCUAACACUAGAGGGCAUCGAACUGAGCAACGUAUGCACUUAAAGAAUGCUAUUGAAAUGGCAAUUCAGAAAGGGUAUCUCAAGUUUCUAGCUCAGAACCCCCAUCAGCUAAACAAAGCUGAAGACAAUAAAGUAAGAAAAUCAAGGUUGGAGUGCGAUGACAAGGGAAAGAAAGCAGUGAGUGGAAUUAAUGAUUUGCUAGUAGAGGGAAGAAAAUAGGUUAGGUCCAUCAAACUUAAAGCAGAAGGCUCAUUUAGAAAGUUUCUUAUUGGUUUUAGCCAUGACUAAAAAACCAAAGCCUUCUCCAUGGGAUUUUUAAUUUUCAGAACAUGAUAAUAGGGAUGUUUUAGAUAUGAAAAGUGAAGACCCUCUGGUGGUCUCGACCAAUAUCUCCUUUUCCCAAGUCAUGAGAAUCUUGGUCGACA